rnacentral:rRNA from 1 species
GACGAACGCUGGCGGCGUGCCUAAUACAUGCAAGUAGAACGCACAGUUUAUACCGUAGCUUGCUACACCAUAGACUGUGAGUUGCGAACGGGUGAGUAACGCGUAGGUAACCUGCCUGGUAGCGGGGGAUAACUAUUGGAAACGAUAGCUAAUACCGCAUAAUAUUAAUUAUUGCAUGAUAAUUAAUUGAAAGGUGCAAUUGCACCACUACCAGAUGGACCUGCGUUGUAUUAGCUAGUAGGUGAGGUAACGGCUCACCUAGGCGACGAUACAUAGCCGAACUGAGAGGGUGAUCGGCCACACUGGGAAUGAGACACGGCCCAGACUCCUACGGGAGGCAGCAGUAGGGAAUCUUCGGCAAUGGAGGAAAGGCUGACCGAGCAACGCCGCGUGAGGGAAGAAGGGUGUCGGAUCGGAAAGCUCGGUUGUAAGAGAAGAACGGGUGUGGGAGUGGAAAGUUCACACUGUGACGGUAUCUUACCAGAAAGGGACGGCUAACUACGUG